GGCCCGUUAGCUCAGUUGGUUAGAGCGUCGUGCUAAUAACGCGAAGGUCGCGGGUUCGAUCCCCUCACGGACCA
rnacentral:tRNA from 1 species